CUGGGCUGUUUCAUAGUUCUUCACAUGCUUACAUUGAAGAAGCCAGAGCUGGUUGGAGGCUAGCAAAUGAUAUGAGAUUAAGGAGGAUUUGGGAGAAUGAGGCAUUCCUUUACCAGGAAGUGAAGACUCUGCAAAUUAGAAAAAUUAUGAAGGAAAUCCCUCCCCAAAUGUAUUAGUAGCAGUGUUGAAAACGUGUAGUCCAAAGGCUAUAGACGUAAUUUUUGUUGCUGCCUUUUUUCUUGGUUUUAAAACAUGAUGUGCUUGCUGUCUGUAAAUUUACCUGAGUCAUUGAUAACAAUGGGAGAGAGAAGUCAACUCUGUGUGGCUCUCUGGUCCAGACUGAUACUUAACCUCAACAUGUGCACAUUUGGGGACCACAAAGGCUUGGCAGCAGUGCUCACAAUGGGGGCUCCACGAUGAUCAAGACCAGCUGUGGCACUUGCAGAGGUGACAUCAGGAGGAAGCACAGUGUGAUGCAUGCUGAAGUAGAAUCCUGCCUUCAAGGAGCUGUAAAUUAAAAAGGGACUACCUGUUGGAGCAAUGAAAAAAGGCUUCCCAGAUUGGGGAUUAUACGCUGAGAUUUAAAGGAUCAAAGGUGAAAAAAAUGGGAAGAGAGGUAAUAGGAGAAGGUAUUUAUAAGCAGGUAAGAUUCAACUUGCAAAACUUAAAGGCUGAGAGAGAAUGAUGUUUUGAGAAAACAUCAGAGGUCAGAAUGGCUAGGAGAAGGGUAUACAAAGGCAACAAAUUUAUGUAGUUUUAAGCAGUUGGUGAAUUAUGUCGUAUGUUUUUUUUUUCUCAAGAAUGGUAAUUUUCCAGGUUGGGGCAAGAAAAAUAGGACUCUAAAUUUUAUUUUAGAGUCUUGCUGUGUUGCCCAGGUCCCCAGGCUAGAGUGCAGUAGUGUGAUCUCUGCUCACUGCCUCACUGCAACCUCCGCCUUCCAGACUCAAGCAAUUCUCGUGUCUCAGCCUCCCAAGUAGCCAGGACCACAGGUGUGCACCACCACACCCAGCUAAUUUUUGUAUUUUUAGUAGAGGCAGGGUUUCACCACUUUGGCCAGGCUGGUCUCGAACUCCUGAUUUCAAGUGAUCUGCCCGCCUCAGCCUCCUAAAAUGCUGGGACUGAUUACAGGUGUGAGCCGCUGCACUUAGCCUAUCAGUAGUUGCUUUUAUGUAACAUGCCAUUGAUUUGACUGGGGCUACAGAGAUGAUGUACACAGAAGUAAGAAUUUUAUAAAACUAGUGCUGCUUAGGCUAGCAAAUGGUUUGUAAUAAUUUCUUCAGUUUUCAAAAAUUACCAAAAACUGAAAGAAGGCCAUUUUACAGAUGUUCCAAGGGCAUUAAAUAUUAUCAGUCAAGCUUCCUUCAUAUUUCUUUGCAAAACAGCUUUUAACAACAGCUGUGAUUCUCUUAUCUGUUGCUUUCAAAGGAAACUUGUGUCUAUUGCUGUAUGUAUAGUUUUAAUUAUAGGUAUUCCAUAUGUGAAUUUUAAUUAUUUAUUUACCUCCAAUUUUAGCAAGAGAACACUGAUUAGAAGCUUAAAUAACUCUCGCCCUCUUACUCACCCUCACAAAACUGAUAGGAAAAGUUUUAAAUACUCUGUGGUGAAGGAAAAAAAGUCGACAUAAAAAUAUCUACAAAAAUUACAGGAAGAAGAGAAAUGAUGAAAGUUAGUAGAGGAUCAAAACAUGUGAAGCACUUUUUAUUUAAUUUUUCAAUAUGUGUUCUGGAAAUCAUUAAUAGUCAGUCUGCAGCUGUUUCUUACUGAAUAUAGUGUUAGAAUGGGAAGACCACAGCUUUUAUGGAAAGUCAACAAUUUUGAUUAUGGUCACAAGGUUUGCAAAUUACUUUGGCUUCAACUAUUCUGCUAUUAUUUUUUCCUUAUAGUAAAUAUUAAACGUUAAUGCUGGAACAGUGGCUUUUAAACUUUCAUGUGAAGAUGCAGCUGGGGUGCUUGUCAAAAAUGCAGAUUUUCAGACUUUUUCUUAAAAGAGUCCAAUUCUGAUUUUUAAAAUGUGUCUCCAAGUGAUUCUGAUGCAGGUGUCUCCGAAUUAAAUUUUGAAUAAUGUUGGGCUGGCUCAAGGGCACCUAGUGCCUGGCAUAGAUAUGUCCUCAAAGAAAUUAAAAACUUCUCAGAUGUAUCUACAAUGACAAUGCUGAUGAAUGCUGAUGAAUGCAAGCAUUGUGAGGGGAUGAAUUUUGCCUGUUUUGUUCACAGCUAAUAUGGUUUGGGUUUGUUUUCCCACUCAAAUCUCAUCUGGAAUUGUAACCUCAUAAUCCCCAUGUAUCAUGGAAGGGACACAGUAGGAGGUAACUGAAUCAUGGGGGCGGUUACCCCCAUGAUGUUCUCAUGAUACUGAGUGAGUUCUCAUAAGAUCUGGUAGUUUUAUAAGGGGCUUUCUCCGUUUGCUUGACACUUCUUCGUGCCACCAUGUGAAGGAGGACGUGUUUGCUUCUCCUUCUUCCAUGACUGUAAGUUUCCUGAGGCUUCCCCAGCCGUGCUGAACUGCAAGUCAAUUAAGCCUCUUUUCUUUAUAAAUUACUCAGUCUGGGGUAUAUCUUCAUAGCAGCAAGAGAACAGGCUAACACAACAGCCACGUUCCCAGCACUGAGAUUAGCACCUGGCACACAGUCAAUAACUAUUUGCUGAAUGGAUGUGUGAAAGAAUGAUUUGAGCAUGUCAGUACUUGCUUUCUGAAGUUCAUGCUGUUCAUUGGAUCUUCUAUCCCACACUAACUAUCAGAAGGCAAAGGACUUGUGUCAAGCAUGCCCCAAUUUGCUCACCAAAAGUGGCAUUUUGGGCCUCACAGUAAUGACAUUUGGCAAAGUUACCAGUCUUGAAAGUGUAAUUUUUGAGUUUUAUUUUCUGACCUACAAAACUUAAAAGUGUACCUGUAAGGGGCUGCAGUACCUUAGUGGAUCACAACAAAUCAGCAUGCACAUUCCAAAUGUAUAACCUAUCACAGAAAUAUGACACCCAUAAUCCCCACAAAAUAUCCAUGUGGUUCUUAAUGAUGCUGAACUACAGAGUUCCUAUUUUCUUUUUCAGACACUAUGAGCUUACAAAAUGUUCCUGCAUUAGUUGUCAUGCUUUGAAACAAACUUGGUGUGAUGAUGUUUCAACUAGAUCUAAAGGGAAUGGACAGGCAGACCCACACAAACACAUGAUUUCUUUUAAGAAAUACUGUAUUAUUUCUCUAGGGCACAUAAAAAUAUUUUGUGAAAUCAUAAAGUUACAUAAAACUCAUAGGAAGAAACAAAUAAAACUGCAAGUUUUAUUCCUUCAUAGAGAUUCAGAAAAGAUGGAAAAUACAUGGUAUUAACCAAGGGAGCAGAUCCUGUACUAUUUUGAAUGUGUCCUUCAUUAGUAAGGACAUCGGUGCUAAUGUCCUUAGUAAUUCAUCCUGUAAGUUAGCACACUUAACAUAAAAGUUUACAGUACUCUUAGCACCAUGAUGGAAAGUAAUCCUUUUGAGACUGCUUCAGGCCUAAAUAUCAUAUAAUCAUAAAAUUUUUAUCAAUAGUAUAUAUUCAAAUGUGUUCAUGUUGUUAUUAAUUAAUACUGGUUGGUUGAACACACCUCUACUUAUCAAUAUUUUAAAUGAUUUCU
rnacentral:lncRNA from 10 species